GGGCUCUUUGGUUUUUGUGCCAUUGUUUCGAAUGUUUUUGUUUUUUUUAAUGCUGGCCAGCUCAUUUUUUUCUUUUCUUUCCCACGUGGUGGUUUUUACUGGGGGUUGAAUGCAAAUGUUUGUUUGACAAAUUGUCCGCGUUUCUUGGUUCUGUUGAAUAUUGAGUGGUUUUAUUCGACGUUUUCAUGCAAACGUUUGGAUGUGCUUUUUUUUGCCAAACAGAUUGUUGCGAAUUCUUAUCAAAACCAAAUAUUCGUCCACUUUCGGUAUUGGUCUACUCAAGGUUGACAAACUCAUACCUAAAAAAAAAAAAAAACGUUUGCAAACAUUUUUUCCCUCUGGUUUCCGCCCGUACGGGACACGCGCCCUCUUUGGACAGCUGAGCUCCAUUCCGCCGAUUUUGGACUGCAAACUUGGAUCGUGUUUGGUCUCGAGCCAUAGAAUGACGACUGCAGCUUUCUUAUAUAAAAAGUGAGCAGCAAGAUCUCGAGGAGGUUUCAGUGAGGAUAGAGAUAAUGCACUUCAAAAUGAGGCUGGAAGAGGAGCCGAAUGACAUGAGGAAAGGACAAAUUCUACACUCGGUCAAGAAUCAAGCAGCACGCAAAAGUUGAUACGUGUGGGGAUCAUGUGAGGGGGCAGUGUGGAGCUCUGGGACGCGCUUUGGUUAUGGGUGCAUGACGGAAAGGUUUUUGGAGUGGACAGUGUUUGGGGGUCUGAUGGUUGGACUUGCUCAAGAGGUGCGCUGUAGUUGUGGUUGAGGUUGUGGCUUGUCUGGAUCCAGAGCAGCGUUGUCUUGUGCUAGGAUUGCCAUUGACGGCGCAUUGUAACCUUUGGGGGAGGACGUCGUCACGUCGAUGGACACAAACAAAACUUUGACGUGGAGCUGAAUGUCCAAUUUUGCGAUAUGACUUGUUGACUAUUGUAACAUUUUGUCUUUUUCUAACCCAUCACUGUCGUACUUGCGUUCUUUGUUCCCCCCUCGGUGUAGGGCGGUGUUGGAGCGAGCCGGUCCACGAGGUGCCAGAAACACAAACAGAACUUUGACGUGGAGCCAAAUGUCCAAUUUUGCGAUAUGACUUGUGACUAUUGUAACAUUUUGUCUUUGUCUAACCUACCACUGUCGUACUUGCGUUCUUUGUUCUCCCCUCGUUGUAGGGCGGUGGAGUGAGCCGGUCCCGAAUGUCCAAUUUUGCGAUAUGACUUGUAACAUUUUGUGUCUUUUUCUAGCCUACCACUGUCGUACUUGCGUUCUUUGUUCUUCCCUCGACGUAGGGCGGCGUUG